AUGCAAGUCGAGGGGAAACGGCAUUUAGUGCUUGCACCGAAUGGACGUCGACCGGCGCACGGGUGAGUAACGCGUAUCCAACUUUCCCAUAACUAAGGGAUAACCUGCCGAAAGGCAGACUAAUACCUUAUGUAAUCCUUUGAUGGCAUCAGAUAAGGAUAAAAGAUUUAUCGGUUAUGGAUGGGGAUGCGUCUGAUUAGCUUGUUGGCGGGGUAACGGCCCACCAAGGCAACGAUCAGUAGGGGUUCUGAGAGGAAGGUCCCCCACAUUGGAACUGAGACACGGUCCAAACUCCUACGGGAGGCAGCAGUGAGGAAUAUUGGUCAAUGGACGGAAGUCUGAACCAGCCAAGUAGCGUGCAGGAUGACGGCCCUAUGGGUUGUAAACUGCUUUUGUAUGGGGAUAAAGUCAAUCACGUGUGAUUGUUUGCAGGUACCAUACGAAUAAGGACCGGCUAAUUCCGUGCCAGCAGCCGCGGUAAUACGGAAGGUUCGGGCGUUAUCCGGAUUUAUUGGGUUUAAAGGGAGCGUAGGCCGGAGAUUAAGUGUGUUGUGAAAUGUAGACGCUCAACGUCUGACUUGCAGCGCAUACUGGUUUCCUUGAGUACGCACAACGUUGGCGGAAUUCGUCGUGUAGCGGUGAAAUGCUUAGAUAUGACGAAGAACUCCGAUUGCGAAGGCAGCUGACGGGAGCGCAACUGACGCUGAAGCUCGAAGGUGCGGGUAUCGAACAGGAUUAGAUACCCUGGUAGUCCGCACAGUAAACGAUGGAUGCCCGCUGUUGGUACCUGGUAUCAGCGGCUAAGCGAAAGCAUUAAGCAUCCCACCUGGGGAGUACGCCGGCAACGGUGAAACUCAAAGGAAUUGACGGGGGCCCGCACAAGCGGAGGAACAUGUG
rnacentral:rRNA from 1 species